rnacentral:misc_RNA from 1 species
UUUCCGUAGGUGAACCUGCGGAAGGAUCAUUAUUGGAUUUUGAAACUUCAGGCUGCUGUUGGCUCUCCUCGGAGGGCAUGUGCACGCUUGUUGUCCAUUAUUUCUCCCACUGUGCACAAAUUGUAGACCUUUCAGUAGGCCUAUGUUGUUUUUCACAAUCUCUGAAUGUAAUAGAAUGGUUUUGAAUCUCGGGAAAUACAAUACAACUUUCAGCAACGGAUCUCUUGGCUCUC